AGUGGCCUGUGGAAGGAGGAGGCUGUGGCCUGUGGAAGGAGGAGGCAGUGACCUGUGGAAGGAGGAGGCAUCCAUGGCCUGUGGAAGGAGGAGGCAUCCAUGGCCAGUGGAAGGAGGCAGCAGCAGCCUGUGUGAGCAACCAGCUGACAACCUAGCUGAGUGUGAAACUAGAAUAGCAACAAGAUCCAGGGUGGGCACUGCAGAGUCCCUAAGGAAAAGUCCCAGCUGAGGCUGGGAAAGCAUUAGUGAAGAGUUCCCAAAGUUGGCAGAAGCCCCCUGACCUGAGAGGUCAAUGAAAUAAGGGACCCCCAGACGGUAAAUCAUGAAGAGAUGCACACCAAGGCAAAGGAAGCAUCUAGAAACUGUAGACAGUGGAGGGGCUGAGCGGCCAGAGCCACCACCUUGCCAUCGAGGGCCAAGUCCAGAUCUCACCAGUUCAGCAAGGCUGACUGGCCAGAGAGCCUUCGGAGUCCCCUCUUUCAUGCCUCCCAAACACUGGGAUUACACGUGUGCACCACAAUACAUGUAUGUAUGUAUGUAUGUCUCUGUGUGUCUGUGUGUGUGUAUGUGUGUGUAUGUAUGCAUGUGUGUGUGUGUGUGUGUAUGUGUGCGUGUGUGUGUGUCUGUAUGUGUGUGUCUGUGUAUGUGUGUGUGUGUGUGUAUGUGUGUGUGUGUGUGUCUGUAUGCGUGUGUCUGUGUAUAUGUGUGUGUGUGUGUGUAUGUGUGUGUUUUGGAGAUCAAAUUUAGAACACCUUAUGUACUGAGUCUAUAUGUCACCUGCCUUCAGAAAAGAAUCUCUAAAAGAAAAGGGGGACUGGAAAGAUGGCUCAGUGGUUCAGAGCACUUGCUACUCUGGCAGAGGACCCAGGUUUGAGUCCCAGUGCCCACAUGUGCCUCACAAUCAUCUCUAACUCCAGUUCCCAAGGACCUAACCCCCUCCUGGCCUCCACUGGCAUCAGGCACACAUGUGGUACACAUACACACAUGCAGGCUCCCCUCAAACCAAUAUGGACAAGAUGGAAGUAAAACGACAGGGAAAGUCACACUAACAAUAAUGAUCGUCAGAGGCAGGGACUGGGAUGCCCUUACUAAAGGAUGCACACCAUGACAACGCUGGGAAAUACAGGAAGAAAAUGCUAGGGUUGAAGAGGCCAAGGUGAGCCCCCAGCUGCAGUGGGAGCCCUCACUCCCAUCAGGCUCCCGAACGAAACAUGGCACCACCAAGCAGGAGGACCAGUCAGUCACCUAGAGUGUGCCACCCAUGUGGGGCCAGCAAAGUGUGUGGGAAGGCUCUGAGCAGGGAGAAGCAGGAGGUUCCAUCAGAGAGGCGCCAUCCAACUGGAAGCAAAGAUGCCACCAUCCCUCUCCGUGUGGCUGAAACAAGGAGAGGUGUCAGCUUGAACACCGUAAAGCAUUGGAGCACUGUCAGGAUUGCUGGGGAGGAAGGGGCCACAGCCUCCCUGGAGGACUCGGCAGGCCCUAGAAAACAAAAGCCCAGCUGAGCCCAGCUGGGGCUCAUGGACAGCCAUUUAACCCAGUUGGAGACCAAUCCCUGUAAAAUACACAAUAACAGUAGCUUUGACGGCCAGGAGCUGAAUGUGGCACAGCUGCCCUUCCUCAGAAGGCCCAGACAUGGUCCUCCCAGACCGUAGGACAUGUCUGCCUCAGGGUAUUCCUGGCUUGGGUACUGCUAACUGCCCAGCAGCACAAGGUCUAUAGAACCUGUAAGUAUCUAGAAGGCCGUGCUGAGUGGAAGAAGCCAGUCCAGAGGCUCACAUGCCAAACAGUUCCAUUUACUUAACAUUCUUGAAGUGACCAAAAGAAUACAGAUAGUGGGGAGGAGUGAUGAGACAGAGUGUCCUGCUGGGCGUGUCGGGUCCUAGCUGGCAUAGCCAGUAUAGUUUUGGAAGAGGCUACCCACUGAGUCUGAUCUUAAACACCCUGCUAUAGUCAGUGGACUUAGCUUGCUUUCCAUUGCUGAUGAGUACCAUGACCCAAAACAACUCGGGAAAGCUUACAGGUUAUAGGCCAUCAUUGAGGGAGGGCCAAGGCAGGAGCCUCAGAACUGGAGACAGAAGCUAAAGCAGAGACCACAGAGGAACAGAGACCCAUGGGCUUGCUCCCCAUGGCUUUCUCAGCUUGCUUGCUUCUACAACCCAGGACAGUGGGUUGUAGUACCUCACAGUGUGCUGAGUUCCCAAACCUGUCAUUAAUCAAGAAAAUACCCCAAGACAGACUUAUUGAUAGGUCACUUUGAUACAGACUCUUCGGAAGUUGACACUCCGUCUUCCCAGAUGACACUACUUUGUGUCGCAUUGAUAAAAACUAACCAGCAGGUUCUAGAACGUUCCAGGGGUGGUGUCAGUCUUCCUCAGUAUCUUCCCAGACCUGUCAGGGAAAGCACCUGCCCUGACUCUUUCCCAGCUUCCCAGGCCCAACACUAGGCCCCUGACCAGGACCCCACUCACACCACACCACACCACACCACACCACACCACACCACACCACACCCACUUUGGCUGUAGUGUCCAGGACCUGCAGCCCUAGACCUUCAACCAUAACUUGAGGAGAAAAUGAAGGCAAGAGGGCCGAUUCAUAGAAGAUAGAAUGGUUGCACAACAGGAACCUUCCCAGAGGCCCUGCAUCCCUGCCCUCCCCAGCCUUGGGAAAUGUAGGGUCAGGACCCCAGAUUCAGGAGAAGAUGGACUUUGUGGUGAUCUCCGCAGCACCGCCUCACCCUCUCGGUGCCCAACUGUGGAGUUCAGUGUGGCUCUCUGUUCAUGACCCCUCAGCCCCACCCUCCCUCGGGGACCCUUACCCACUCAGGUUUGUGUACCAGAAGGGGGAAGGAUGGCAGCCCCACCCACAACCAAUGAUGCCUCAAGACCCACACCCAGAAAGACAGCAUCCCAAGCCCCACCCCAGUAGCAAGGCUUGCACACACCCUGGUAGGAUGAGGUGGAGAGGGUGGGUCAUGGAGACGGGAAGCAAAGAGACGCAGGCUGACACAUUGUGCCCUGCAGGUGGAUCCGAGGAGAACACUACCGGUACAAGUUCAGCCUCCCCGGGGGCCAGCACGCCACCCAGGGCAAGUGGUGGAUCCGCAAGCGAAUUGGUCCUUACUUCCCCCCACUCCGCCUUGAGGAUCUGAAGGAAUACUUUAAGACUCGGGAGUGGCCACUACCAGAACCCCCAUCUAGACACACACGCUGAAAUAAAGACCAGAGACCAACCGCUUCUCUACCUAUACUGUGCUGCGGCCACGGGACCCGCACAGGGACCCGGCAGCCCAUGGAUCCUGCCAAGAAGAGAUUGGAAAAGGAUGUGCUUCC
rnacentral:lncRNA from 1 species